rnacentral:rRNA from 1 species
CCUGGCUCAGAACGAACGCUGGCGGCGUGCCUAACACAUGCAAGUCGAGCGAGAAAGUCCGACCGCAAGGAAGGAUGAGUAAAGCGGCGCACGGGUGCGUAACACGUGGGUAAUCUGCCCUGGAGUCCGGAAUAACUCGCCGAAAGGCGUGCUAAUGCCGGAUAAGACCACGGGAGCCUCGGCUCCUGCGGGAAAAGGUGGCCUCUGUACACAAGCUACCUCUUCGGGAUGAGCCCGCGGCCCAUCAGCUAGUUGGCGGGGUAACGGCCCACCAAGGCUACGACGGGUAGCUGGUCUGAGAGGACGAUCAGCCACACUGGAACUGAGACACGGUCCAGACUCCUACGGGAGGCAGCAGUGGGAAUCUUGCGCAAUGGGCGAAAGCCUGACGCAGCAACGCCGCGUGUGUGAUGAAGGUCUUCGGAUCGUAAAGCACUGUCGCGAGGGACGAAUAAGGGUCGGGAUAAUACCCCGGUCCGAUGACGGUACCUCGAGAGGAAGCACCGGCUAACUCUGUGCCAGCAGCCGCGGUAA